ensembl:lncRNA
GAAAUGCCAGACCAUGACUGUGCUGGGACAUUUUGAGCUUUUGGUCAGCGUUCUGGUAGGUGCUGUGGAACUUUUUCAGAUUUCGAUAUGCAGAGAUACUGUCUUAAACCCCUCCGUGGAAAUUUAUGGUCUUAUUUUGUCUUCCUCUUGUUCUUUCCCCGUGACUUUCAGUGACCAAAGUCUUUCGUCGGUCAUGUUGUUUCCUCUCUGGCAGACUGCAGCUGCCUAUAUUAGGAAGUGCGGCCGAGCAACUGUGUUGUACGCUGGUGUCGAGGGUGAAACCGCGGGGUUUGCGGAGAGCUCGGCCCUCGCCGCCCGUCCAGAGGAGCGGAGCUGCGUGUGCGGCCCGUGCCGUGGGAGCGCGGUGCCGGCACCCCCGGGCCUCGCCUGCCCCAGAACGCGCCAGGACGGGGUCGGCGGCCCAGGCCGCCUGCAGCGGCACCGCCCCUCUGGCCGCCCCCCUUCCCGGCUGCCCGCGGGCUGGAAAUUCCCGCCCGGGAAGCACACUCGGGUUUCCCCCGCUGGCAGAGGAAAGUACCCAAGGUCCCCGCUGACGGGCCAUCCGCCCCCGCAGCACAGCGCCUCGAAGGGGCGGAGCCCCGGCGCCGAGGGCCCGCACAGCCCCGCAGCGCCGCUCCCGCUGCCGGCUGCCGCACGACGGCGCUGCUGGCCCGCGAAGGGCGGGGCUGUGCCCGCCCCGUCAGGCGGUGCCUGCGCCCGCCGGGAGCUCCCGGGGAGAGCCGAGCCGGAGUUUCCCGGGCGGGGCGCUGCCGGCGGGGGCUCCUCUCCCCCCGCGGCCUGCCAGGCGCCGCAUAUAGGCUGGGCCUUGCUGGGGGCCGCUGCGGGGCCCCGCUCGGAGGCCGUUUUGUUCUGCCCCAAAAAAUUGAAUGAUUGAAACUACAGAUACUUACAAUUUCUUCUUGAGAACAGUCAGUGUCAAUAUGGAGACGUAGGCACCUUAGAAGGGACUUCAGUCUUAACUCUGGGAGGUAGUUCUGUGCAGAAAUAAAGAAACUAAGGCAGAAAUAAGAAACUAACCUGAGAGUUCUGUUUGCUUCUGUAUGCCAGAAACAUGGCAUACAGAAAAAACUUAAUUCAACAGUAUAAAGCAUCAGAAUGUCUCAACACAAGGCAAUUAAUUUAUGUUAAAUUCGAUAACUCUGUACUUGUAACUAAGGCACCAGGCUAAAACUGAAAUGCUCUGUUAAUUCAGUGCUGACUUGUAGACAAGCCUGGGGCUAUCCUGGUUUGUUAAUAGAGUUCAUCCUUGUCUGAGACAGUGUAUAGGAUUUGUUUCUCUAAUAGCUGAAUAUUCUAUACAUGUGAAGUUGAGCAUAAACUAACUUCUUUAGUCCAACAACUUGUUACAACAAUAUGCAGAAAUUGAGAGGGGUUUUUUUUGGAGUCCAGUAGUAGCAAAUAUACGAGAUCAGUUUAGUAAUGUCAGUUCAGGGUCUCUAUUUUUUGUGUGCCCUUUGAACUUGAUAAACCCUUCUUUUCAGCCUCCUGUUGAGGUUUUACAAACUGAAAUCUUUCUGUGUGUAUAAGCUACAUAUUUAUCAGAUGUCUAGGGUGAAAUCUUGUCCUUAAAUCACUUAACAUAUGUUCUGGAUAAGAACAGUGUUGUUUUAGUUGCCCCCCAAUUUAGUUUCUCUACUGACAAAGGAUUUUGAUAAACCCAUUUGAGAUUUUUCCUCUUUUGAUCCCACCUCCACGAGCCUGACAAAUUGGUACUGCUCUCCCAGAUAUACAGAACAAAUGAAGCAUGUGAUUCUUAUAUGAUUCAAGGGAAAUUCCUUUUCAACAUACUUUUUUCAGUUGUUGAAAUGGGAUUGGGCAGCUUUUGCACUGAAAGCAGUUGCUAAACUAAGAUACAAGAACUUCUCAAAUGUUUAAAGGCUGUUAAAUCAUGAGGUCAGUUCUAUUAAUUGCACAUUUGAAGUUACACUUUAAAGUAUUUAUUGCUUUUGUACAGACAGGGGUUAUUCCAAAUUGCCUUUAAUGCACACAACUACCUCCCAGAGGAAGACUUGUCCCAU